rnacentral:rRNA from 1 species
GAUGAACGCUGGCGGCGUGCUUAACACAUGCAAGUCGAGCGAAGCAAUUUAAGUGAAGUUUUCGGAUGGAUCUUAGAUUGACUGAGCGGCGGACGGGUGAGUAACGCGUGGAUAACCUGCCUCACACAGGGGGAUAACAGUUAGAAAUGACUGCUAAUACCGCAUAAGCGCACAGUACCGCAUGGUAUAGUGUGAAAAACUCCGGUGGUGUGAGAUGGAUCCGCGUCUGAUUAGGUAGUUGGUGAGGUAACGGCCCACCAAGCCGACGAUCAGUAGCCGACCUGAGAGGGUGACCGGCCACAUUGGGACUGAGACACGGCCCAAACUCCUACGGGAGGCAGCAGUGGGGGAUAUUGCACAAUGGGCGAAAGCCUGAUGCAGCAACGCCGCGUGAGUGAAGAAGUAUCUCGGUAUGUAAAGCUCUAUCAGCAGGGAAGAAAAUGACGGUAC